UGUGGCUCAGUGGUAGAGCACCUGUCUGGCAUGUGGGAGGCACUGGGUUCGAUUCCCAGCA
rnacentral:tRNA from 1 species